rnacentral:rRNA from 1 species
GAUGAACGCUGGCGGCGUGCCUAAUACAUGCAAGUCGAGCGAACAGACGAGGAGCUUGCUCCUCUGACGUUAGCGGCGGACGGGUGAGUAACACGUGGAUAACCUACCUAUGAGACUGGGAUAACUUCGGGAAACCGGAGCUAAUACCGGAUAAUAUAUUGAACCGCAUGGUUCAAUAGUGAAAGACGGUUUUGCUGUCACUUAUAGAUGGAUCCGCGCCGCAUUAGCUAGUUGGUAAGGUAACGGCUUACCAAGGCGACGAUGCGUAGCCGACCUGAGAGGGUGAUCGGCCACACUGGAACUGAGACACGGUCCAGACUCCUACGGGAGGCAGCAGUAGGGAAUCUUCCGCAAUGGGCGAAAGCCUGACGGAGCAACGCCGCGUGAGUGAUGAAGGUCUUCGGAUCGUAAAACUCUGUUAUUAGGGAAGAACAAAUGUGUAAGUAACUAUGCACGUCUUGACGGUACCUAAUCAGAAAGCCACGGCUAACUACGUG